UACGUAGGGUGCGAGCGUUAAUCGGAAUUACUGGGCGUAAAGGGUGCGUAGGCGGCGCGGUAAGUCGGGUGUGAAAUCUCGGGGCUUAACUCCGAAACUGCAUUCGAUACUGCCGUGCUUGAGGACUGGAGAGGAGACUGGAAUUUACGGUGUAGCGGUGAAAUGCGUAGAUAUCGUAAGGAAGACCAGUGGCGAAGGCGGGUCUCUGGGACGGUACUGACGCUGAGACGCGAAAGCGUGGGGAGCGAACAGG
rnacentral:rRNA from 1 species